rnacentral:rRNA from 1 species
GACGAACGCUGGCGGCGUGCCUAAUACAUGCAAGUCGAACGCAGUGGGGCCGGGUGAGUAACACGUGGGUAACCUCCCGUCAGAGGGGAUAACACUUGGAAACAGGUGCAAAUACGAUAAGGAAGGAUGGACCCGCGGUGCAUGUGCUAGUUGGUGAGGUAACGGCUCACCAAGGCCACGAUGCAUAGCCGACCUGCAAGGUUGUUCGGCCACACUGGGACGUAUACACGGCCCAGACUCCUACGUGAGGCAGCAGGAGGGAAUCUUCGGCAAUGGACGAAAGUCGGACCGAGACACGCCGAGUGAGUGAAGAAGGUUUUCGGAUCGUAAAACUCUGUGGUUAGAGAAGCGGUAUCUAACCAGAAAGCCACGGCUAACUUCGUGCCAGCCGCGGCGGUAAUUC